UACGGAGGGGGCUAGCGUUGCUCGGAAUCACUGGGCGUAAAGGGUGCGUAGGCGGGUCUUUAAGUCAGUGGUGAAAUCCUGGAGCUCAACUCCAGAACUGCCUUUGAUACUGAGGAUCUUGAGUUCGGGAGAAGUGAGUGGAACUGCGAGUGUAGAGGUGAAAUUCGUAGAUAUUCGCAAGAACACCAGUGGCGAAGGCGGCUCACUGGCCCGAUACUGACGCUGAGGCACGAAAGCGUGGGGAGCAAACAGG
rnacentral:rRNA from 1 species